AGACUGUGAGCGAGGAACCCAGGAGCUGCUGGCUACCCUGGGGGCCUUAGGGUACCGGGCAUCCGCGAAGAAGGCUUAGAUAUGCAGGGAGAGGGUGCUCCACUACAUGACUGUGCGGGAAUCCUGGAACAAGUACAUGGAUUCCGGAUGGACCUGACCAACCGGCCCCUCCCCGAUGCCGAGGCUACUUGGUUCACUGAUGGCAGCAGCUUUGUGCGAGACGGACACAGUAUUUACAGACACCUUCUCUGGCUGGGUGGAGGCAUACCCAACCAAGCAUGAAACGGC